GGCCUUUUGUUUAUGAUUUAAGGUCUUGCCUGCCCAAUGAUGUAAAAAUUAAAUGGCCGCAGUAUACUGACUGUGCAAAGGUAGCAUAAUCAUUAGUUUUUUAAUUGAAAGCUUGUAUGAAAGGUUUGAUGAGAAAAUUACUGUCUCUAUUUAAAUUUUUAGAAAUUUAUUUUUAAGUAAGAAAGCUUAAAUUUUUAUUGAAGACGAGAAGACCCUAUAGAGUUUGAUUUAUAUAAUAAUAAAUAGAAUUUAGUAUUUAAAAUUUUAUUAUUAUAUAAAUUUAGUUGGGGUGAUUGAAAAAUUUAUAUAACUUUUUUUUUAUUUUUACAUUGAUUUAUGAGUAUUUGAUCCUUUAAAAGAUUAUAAGAUAAAAUUACCUUAGGGAUAACAGCGUAAUUUUUCUUAGAGUUCUUAUCGAAAGAAGAGAUUGCGACCUCGAUGUUGGAUUAAAAUUAAAUUUUUGGUGUAGAAGCUAAAAAAUUAGGUCUGUUCGACCUUUAAAUUUUUACAUGAUCUGAGUUUAAACCGGCGUAAG
rnacentral:rRNA from 1 species